AUACGAAAGGUGCGAGCGUUGUUCGGAUUUACUGGGCGUAAAGCGAGUGUAGGUGGUUUGUUAAGUCGGAUGUGAAAUCCCGGGGCUCAACCUCGGAACUGCAUUCGAUACUGGCAGGCUAGAGUUCGGGAGGGGUAAGCGGAAUUCCGUGUGUAGCAGUGAAAUGCGUAGAUAUACGGAGGAACACCUGAGGCGAAGGCGGCUUACUGGACCGAUACUGACACUGAGACUCGAAAGCGUGGGUAGCAAACAGGAUUAGAUACCCCGGUAGUCC
rnacentral:rRNA from 1 species